UUCCUGAUCGCCGUGGGAAUAGGGUGAUGUUUGGGAAAGCAUUCUGGUUUCCAGGGCAAUGUGUGUGCAGGGAGGGGCUGUGAAAUGUGGCUGGGAACGGGUGUUAUAGGAAGGACCACACUGCAGAGGAAGCCGCCACACCUGAUAAAUGGCUUUGUUGGGUUUUUUUCUGAUGCUAUGAGGUGGUUCUCUCCAGCCCCACAGCUAUCCGGGCUGCACCCUCUCCUCUCCCUCAGCAUGACGGGGCCACAGGGGACUCGAGACCUGGAAGUGGACACCAGACUUGGAGAAGCUCCCUGCCCUGUCCCUGGGACCUCAGGUGAGCUUUUUAGGUCAAGGAAGACGGUUGAGUUUGAAAAGGGCAGAGAAAAGAAGAUCUCAUCCUCCUGAUGUGAGAAGAGUGAUGGAGGCAAGGAAAGGCAUGUGAUGAUGAUGCAAGCUCUAGCAUACAGUCACCCUUCACUGCAUGGAGCUGUUGAGGCUGGCAGAUCACUGCAGAAACGACCUGGAGCCCCUGACGUCCGAUCCUUUCUUGCACAUCUGCUUCUGGCACAAAAGGGGAGUCCCUGCCGUGAUGAGAACUCAGCAGCAGUUAGCUCCAGAGCAGUCCGCAUGAUCGUCUUCUCCCCUGGUGCAGGCGUGCGAGGCUUGGCACGUUUCUGGAAACAGAAAUAAGUGGGAGUUAUGUGGGCAGAGCAAGGAUUUAUAAAGUCUGCUGAAGGUUUUA